rnacentral:lncRNA from 1 species
UUAUGAAGUACUUUCAUUAAGUAACAUUAUUUAAUGAUCCUUGCAAUAAGUUUGAGAUGUAAGGUGGGUACUAAAGCACCUCUCUUGAUUUUACAGGUGAGGAAACCUGGGCUCAGGUUGGGACCCAAGCUCAUCUAGCAGCAGAGGGGCAGAGCAGAUAAGUUCUACGCUCCUUCUGUCAUUCCAUACUGCCAUACUUAAUAACAAGAAGGACAAUUAAGAAAACAACACCACCACCUGGUUCCCAUUUAAAAAAGAAAAAUCGGACUGGAGAUUUGCAAUGCUGACCUCCUGAGACGGAAAGGUGAAUAAGAGAAGCCGUCAGAUGUCUCCUGGGCCCACAUAACAGACCUGCCUUCUCUUCAUGAGCAGAAUUCAGGAUUCACUAAUCUCACAGGCUAUAGCCUAUAACCUGAUGGUGGGGAAAUCGAGCCAUUUCUUACUCCUCAGAUUAGAUAACUCCAGAAAACUGCUCAAGACCUUACUGAAGUAAGUGUCCUUGUUGGAGAAGACGACAGAGCAAGGAAUUUCAGAUGGCCUCUAGAAACUGUGGGCAACCUAUAAAACCUGAGGGUGGUCUCCAGUCAACAGCCAGAAAAAAAUUGAUCGUACAACUCAGUCAGACAACUGCAAGCAAAUGAAUUCUGCCAACAGCCUGAAUGAGCUUGGAAAUGGGUUCUUCCCCGGUUGAGCCUCCAGAUGAAAAUGCAUCCUGACUGACAUCUUAAUUACAGUCUUGUGACACCCUAAGCAGAAGAUGCAGCUAAGCCAUCCCUAUAAUCCUGACCCAUGGAGACCGAUAAUAAAUGUGUGUUGUUUUAAGCUGCUA